GGAAGCAUGGGGUAGUCAGGUAUCCUAGAGGGCUCCAGUCAGUUUGUGAUUAGCUAAAGGUCAUCUGAAUACAUGAUGAGUGACUGGAACAAUGAAACAUGGAAGAGACCCUUAGAUCUGGGUUCAAAUCCCAGUGCUUCCA
rfam:Ferroplasma sp. Type II genomic scaffold AMDT4_FER2S00062, whole genome shotgun sequence.